GGAAAUGUGUGUCCAGGGGUGCUGAGGGGUGCAGAGCCAGACCCAGAGCCCUCAUGGUGCUGGAGGCUCUGGAUGGCAGUCCUGGGUUCCUCUGCAUGAAGGAUGAGAACAUGAACAUCUGUGCUGUCAAUGCAGUUUUUAUCCAUUCUGGAUCACCACCAGAUUCCAGCCAGCACCUCCAACUGCUCCCAGGCUGGGAAAGGCAAAACCAGCAGAGACAGAAGGGCUGAAUGAGAACAGAGCCAGGCUGAGUGCUGGAUCCUGCUCAGUCACUUUUCCUGUGACCCCCAGUGGCUUCAUCAAUGAACAUUGUCCAGAGGAGCCCAUGGAGCUGCUCCAGGGCUGGAGCCCCUCUGCUCUGGAGCCAGGCUGGCACAGCUGGGGGUGCUCACCUGGAGAGGAGAAGGCUCCAGGGAGAGCUCAGAGCCCUUCCAGGGCCUGAAGGGGCUCCAGGAGAGCUGGAGAGGGACUGGGGACAAGGAUGGAGGGACAGGACACAGGGAAUGGCUCCCACUGCCAGAGGGCAGGGAUGGAUGGGAUAUUGGGAAUUAGGAAUUGUUCCCUGUGAGGGUGGGCAGGCCCUGGCACAGGGUGCCCAGAGCAGCUGUGGCUGCCCCUGGAUCCCUGGCAGUGCCCAAGGCCAGGCUGGGUGGGAUUUGGAACAGCCU